CGUGCAGGAACAGACCCUACUUGAUCUGCUUGUCAUCACCUAAUGCGUUGAUCCUAACUAAUUUUAACAGGAAGAUGGAGGACACUUCGCAUGCCCAAUAAUUAACUUUUCCAAAGAUCAUGGCAAAGGUCAGAGCAAGGGUCAUCUGAUUUCUUUCAAAUGCUUGUCUCCCAUGGAGAAAUUAGGGGAUUUGCCCUUCUGUGACUGGUUACAACUGGAAGUGAAGACACUUGGUGUGCUACAGGCAAAUGAGGAUGGAUUUGAACCAGUGACUGAGAGAGAGAGAAGGAUUCUGUCACCAAUGUCCUGAACUAACAUCUCUGCCUUAUUACCACCAACAUGGGUCUUGAUGUGGAGAACAGCAAAGUUGUCAGAGAUUUUUCCUGAGAGUGGACUUCAGUGCAAACUCUAAAAUCAGCAUUUCUGGAACCAAAUCCAACAGCCUUGAAGCCUGGCUGAAAGCCUGACACAACACUUACUGACGUCAAUGGAAAGCUCCCCAGUGACUGCUGCUAGCAACAGAAGUGUGAAAAAAAUCAAACAAAAUUCAAGGAAAUUCUAUGCAAAACCCAAGUAACUACCACCCUGAAAGCAGAAUCAGGAUCUGACAGCAGCUAUAGCUCUGCCAUUUUGCACAUAUUCACAAUAAUGGGAUCUUUCAUUGCAUGACCACACAACA